UCGAGCGGCCGUAGCAAUACGGCAGCGGCAGACGGGAGAGUAACACGUGGGAACGUGCCCUUCAGUUCGGAACAACCCAGGGAAACUUGGGCUAAUACCGGAUACGCCCUUACGGGGAAAGAUUUAUCGCUGAAGGAGCGGCCCGCGUCUGAUUAGCUUGUUGGUGAGGUAACGGCUCACCAAGGCGACGAUCAGUAGCUGGUCUGAGAGGAUGAUCAGCCUCAUUGGGACUGAGACACGGCCCAAACUCCUACGGGAGGCAGCAGUGGGGAAUAUUGGACAAUGGGCGCAAGCCUGAUCCAGCCAUGCCGCGUGGAUGAUGAAGGCCCUAGGGUUGUAAAGUCCUUUCGGCGGGGAAGAUAAUGACGGUACCCGCAGAAGAAGCCCCGGCUAACUUCGUGCCAGCAGCCGCGGUAAUACGAAGGGGGCUAGCGUUGCUCGGAAUCACUGGGCGUAAAGCGCACGUAGGCGGCUUUUUAAGUCAGGGGUGAAAUCCCUGAGCUCAACUCCAGAACUGCCUUUGAUACUGAGAAGCUUGAGUUCGGGAGAGGUGAGUGGAACUGCGAGUGUAGAGGUGAAAUUCGUAGAUAUUCGCAAGAACACCAGUGACGAAGGCGGCUCACUGGCCCGAUACUGACGCUGAGGUGCGAAAGCGUGGGGAGCAAAC
rnacentral:rRNA from 1 species